GAUGAACGCUGGCGGCGAGCCUAACACAUGCAAGUCGAACGGAGUAUAUAUUAUGAAGUUUUCGGAUGGGUUAAUAUAAACUUAGUGGCGGACGGGUGAGUAACGCGUGGGUAACCUGCCUCAUACAGGGGGAUAACAGCUGGAAACGGCUGCUAAAACCGCAUAAUAUUGCGACAUCGCAUGGUGAUGCAAUUAAAUAUUUAUAGGUAUGAGAUGGGCCCGCGUCUGAUUAGCUAGUUGGUGAGGUAAUGGCUCACCAAGGCGACGAUCAGUAGCCGGCUUGGGAGAGUGACCGGCCACAUUGGGACUGAGACACGGCCCAAACUCCUACGGGAGGCAGCAGUGGGGAAUAUUGCACAAUGGGGGAAACCCUGAUGCAGCGACGCCGCGUGAGUGAAGAAGUAUUUCGGUAUGUAAAGCUCUAUCAGCAGGGAAGAAAAUGACGGUACCUGACUAAGAAGCCCCGGCUAACUACGUGCCAGCCGCCGCAGUAA
rnacentral:rRNA from 1 species